rnacentral:lncRNA from 1 species
UAUAUAGAGAGAGAGAGUCCGACUACUAUACUCUUAUGAGUACGAUCUCCUUCGUACUCAUAAGUCAUUUUCGAUGAUAGAGCUUCCGAAUCGACGAUCCAUACCGUUAAACAUUUUUUAGAGCAUUUAAAACUUUUAGAAAUCAAAUUUCAAAAUUUUUUGACAUCUUUUAUUUUACGAUCAAAAGCUCACAAAAUUGACAAAUUUUAACGGUCGAUAUAGAAUACUUGCUAGUUUAACGGUGCAAAAGAAUCGGAAUAUGUUGAAUUUUUGAUAGAAAAUUCUAUUCACUAUCUAGCUAAAGAUCAAUAACUCCAAUCUUAAAUUGAAGAAUCCGAUCAUCCAUUUUUAGGACGUCGUUCGAGUUUGACCGUUCAUUUUAUGCCCGCCCGAUCGACUUUAUUAUGAUUUCGAAAAAUUACGAAAUUUAUUUUUUAGAAGUUUUAAAUAUUCUAAAUCAUAUUUAACGAAGUGAAUCGUCGAUUCGGAAGCUCCAUCAUCGAAAACAACUUAUGAGUACGAAAGGCUCUAUACUCAUAAGAAUAUAGUAGCCCUACUAUAUAUGAGUCCGGCUACUGUACUCUUUUUUUAUUAAACAGGGGUAUAUCCUAUUUGAGAGUACAAGUAAGGUUCGGUUGGAAAGCGAUAAGUGAAGCAGGCUAAAGUAAAUAGGGAAACAGGAAAAGAAGCGAAAACAAGGAAGAGGCCCCAACAGAACAAGAAGAAAGACGGAGAUUUGGAAGCCAACAUAGUUGCAGAACAGCUGCAAAACACUCGGCCGUCGGUGAGACCGUAGUUUAUUCAUCCUUCCCCGAGCGAUAUCUUCCACAAUCACACCGUGUAGAGAAUGCUCUGACCCAGGAAUUCGCUCUGAUUGAGUCAAUCUUCAAACAAUCUCUUGUUCCGCUCAUUCCAUAAUGCCAAGCAAGAAGCAAUGAAAAUGAGGUCGAAAUCAUUCUUAAAAGAUCCAGAGAAUGCAUUUCGAGUCCUACUCCAAAGCUCAGCUAACACUCCAGAGGUACCAGAAAUCAUUCUUAAAAGAUCCAGAGAAUGCAUUUCGAGUCCGGCUACUAUACUCUUAUGAGUACGAUCACCUUCGUACUCAUAAAUUGUUUUCGAUGAUAGAGCUUCCGAAUCGACGAUCCAUACCGUUAAAUAUUUUCUAGAGUAUUUAAAACUUCUAGAAAUCAAAUUUCAUAAUUUUUCGACAUCAUUUACUUUACGAUCAAAAGCUCACAAAAUUGACAAUUUUUAACGGCCGGUACACGAUACUUGCUAGUUUAACGGUGGAAAAGAAUCGGAAUAGAUUGAAUUUUCGAUAUAAAUUCUAUUCACUACCUAGAUAAAGAUCAAUAACUCCGAUCUUAAAUUGAAGGAUCCGAUCAUCCACUUUUAGGAUGUCGUUUGAUUUUGACCGUUCAUUUUAUGUCCGCUUGAUGGACUUUAUUAUGAUUUCAAAAAAUUACAAAAUUUAUUCUCUAGAAGUUUCAAAUACUCUAGAUCAUAUUUAACGGAGUGGAUUAUCGAUUCGGAAGCUCCAUCAUCGAAAACAANUCAGGUACUUUGACGCUUCGUAUACAGGAAAAAUUCCUUUGUAUACGGCGGAUUUGUCGGCGUGCCCGGGGAACGAGAUAUCCGGGGCGUGACAUAUAUAUAUAUAUAUAUAUAUAUAUAUAAGGGUCCAGCUACUAUACUAUUAUGAGUACGAUGCGUUGUUUUCGAUGAUAAAGCUUCCGAAUCGACGAUCCACACCGUUAAACAUUAUUUACAACAUUUAAAACUUUUAGAAAUCAUAUUUUAUAAUUUUUCAACAUCAUUUACCUUAUGAUCAAGAGGUCACAAAUUUGACAAUUUUAACGGCCAGUAUGGAAUACUUACUAGUUUAAUGGUGUAAAAAAAUCGAAAUUUGUUGAAUUUUUGAUAGAAAAUUUUAUUCACUACAUAGAUAAAGAUCAAUAACUCUGAUCUUUAAUUGAAGGAUCCGAUCAUCCUUUUUUAGGACGUCGUUCGAUUUUGAUCGUUCAUUUUAUGCCCACUUGAUGGACUUUAUUAUGAUUUCGAAAAUUUACGAAAUUUAUUUUCUAGAAGUUUCAAAUACUCUAGAUCAUAUUUAACGGAGUGGAUCGUCGAUUCGGAAGCUCUAUCAUUGAAAAUAACUUAUGAGUAUGAGGGUUCCAAUACUCAUAAUAGUAUAGUAGCCACGGCUUAUAUAUAAAUAUAUAGAGCAGGGCUGCUGUGCUCUCAGGAGCACGGAGGCCUCCGUGCUCCUGAGCCGUUUUCGAUGAUGGAAUUUUCGAAUCGACGAUCGGUUCCGUNAAUUUUCACUUUAUUUCAAAAGAAAAAAUUGCAUAAGUUUUAAUUUCAUACAACAAAAGAAGUUCCACUUAUUGCUCUAGGUUUUCUAUCUUAAUUUUUUAUAUAAAUAGGCUAUUAAAUUAAAUAGCAAAAUAUAUGUUCUACAAAUUACAAUAAAGUAUCUUAUUUUACAAACCACAUAGUAGUAAAAUGAUAUAUUUUACUAUGUAUUUUAAUAUUUUAAAAUAAAUGUUAUCAUUCUAAAAUACUUUUGUAAAGAAUUUUGAAGUUAAGGGCAAAAUGGGCAACCACAUUCAUGACAAUUUAAACACUGUAGCAUUCUGAAAGAGACGGAAAUCAGUAGUAAGGAUAUAUUUGAAAGAUAAUAAGUAUUUGUAGGCGUAUUUGUGAUAUAAUUAAAUUUAUAGGGACAUCUAUGAUAUUUUUGAAGUUUAGAAGGGCGUGAAUAAAAUUGACUCAAAAUAAUAUGUGUUAUUUGGAGAACAAGAGACAUUGUGAUAUAAGUUAGAAUAAUAGUAAAUUUAUAUUUGAAUGUAUUUAGAGAGUAAAACUAUACGUAGACCGCUCACUUUGAAGAGAUCUAUUAAUUUGAGACUUAAAAAAAAUAAUAAUAAUUUAAAUAAAAAAUCUUUUAUAUUUUUAAUACUCUCAAAAUUGAUAGUUCACGAAUUUUUUUUUUCAACUUAUAUACUUUGUUGUACAACUUAUAACUAACUUAAUCUGCAAACUUAUUUUUACAAAGCUUUACAAUUGAAUUCAACAGUAAUUCUAAAUAGUUGGAUCCCUUUGAGACAAUUAUGGCAAAGUACAGUACUAAUUAAUUAAUUUUUUACGUAGAGUGUUCACGAUAUAUGAGAUAAAAUACAAAGGGUCUUUUUGUUAAAAGAAGUCUUAUUUUACUGUAAUGCCCUAUUUGGAUACACAAUAAAAAAGUUUCAUAGAGUUUAUAUUCUGUAAUUUUGGUUUGAAAGAAAUAGAAAAUUCGGUAACUAUAAAAAAUUCCACAGAUUUAAUUUUAAACUGUUUGGACAUAUAUCGAUCAUAUCAUUCCACAAAAACUCCAACGAUUAAAAUUUUAUGUAAAUUUAAAAUUUUAAAAUUUAAAAUUUAAAAUUUAACUAUUUAUGAUGGCUAGCUUCUAGUUUGGCACUUUUUUUGUGUAGUGAAUUUGAUGGCUUUAUUUGCAAAAUAAGAAAAUUAAAUUUGAUUUGAAUUUAGAAUAUACUAUUUUGAUUUGAAGUUAAAUAAUAUAAAAUAAUUAUUUUUCUUCAAAAACCUCAACUAUCAUAAAUUACUAUUUUUAAUAUUAAUAUUCAACAAUCUCAAUUACCUAUUUGCAUAAAAGAAAAUUCAUUUAUCUCAUAAAGGUAAAAAAAAAAUUGGAAUGAUUAUUAAAUUUAAUUUUAAAUUGGAUAAAGAAAAUAGUAGAAUACAUAAGAGUGUAUUUGGUUCCUUGUAAAAUCAUCCUAAAUUUUUUUACAUUUGAAAGGUGAGAUUCGGUGUUUCAUUACUCGUAAAAAUAUUUUCUCGAAUUUUUUUUUUUUACAUAUUAUAAGGAAAAUGAGGGUUUUUGUUUCCCCAUCUCUUUGAGCGGAAACACCCGGCGUUGAGCACGCGUAACAAAAGCACGCGGUCCACGAGAGGUCCACGGUGGACCUUUUUCUCUCAUAUAUAUAUAUAUAUAUAUAUAUAUAUAUAUAUAUAUAUAUAUAUAUAUAGAGGCUCCUAUGCUUCGAAAGAACGGAGGCCUCCGUUCUUAUAAAUUGUUUUCGAUGAUUGGACAUCCGAUUUAGCAAUCGGUUCCGUUAAACAUGUCAAUGCUAUUAGAACUAUCUAGAAAUCAAAUUUCAUAAUUUUUUGACUUCGUUUGCUUAGUGAACGAGUAGUCUCAAAAUGAACGGCUGAAAAUAAAAAUUUUAUAAAAAACAGUAAUAAAAGACUAAAAUUUCAAAUCGAAAGUAUUAUUCUUGUUCUUGAUGUUAAGUAAAAUUUUCUACUAAAGUUUCAUGUAAUUUGGAUACUUCUACACCGUUGAACUUAAAAACAUGCCACAUCGACCCUUAAAAUAGUUAUUUUUGAGCUCUUUUGUAAAGAUAUUUAAAAUGUGUGUGAAUAUUGCCCACACCCCUUUCAUUUUUACUGUUAGAUAUAUAUAUACACUUGGUACAAUGCAUAAAAUCAAAUACCCAAGUUAGUAGGGUUGUUACAACAGAUCCUUUAGUAUUGGAAACCCAAAUUAGUAGGGCUGUUACAACAGACCCUUUGGUAUUGGGAUUUCAGUUGAUUAAGGGGGUUUGUUGCCUAUUUCCAUAAUACCCCCCCGCAAACAGAUGGGAGGAACGACCAUUAGUUUGUCCUUUAAGUCCAAGAACCGUUGCUUCGACAGCGGUUUGGUUAAGACAUCAGCUAGCUGAUCAGCAGUGGGAAUGUAUGAAACUUGAAGUUGUUUCUUGCGGACUUGAUCUCGGACGAAGUGAAAAUCAAGCUCAAGAUGCUUUGAGCGAGCGUGGAAAACUGGAUUUGCUGCUAGAUAUGUAGCUGAGACAUUAUCACACCAUAUUCGGGGAGUGGUAGGAAGGGGCUGGUGUAAUUCCCGAAGAAGACAUUGUAACCAGUAAACUUCAGAUGUAGCAGAUGCUAAGGCACGAUAUUCAAAUCGGUGCUGGAUCGAGCGACUGUAUUUUGUUUCUUUGAACUCCAUGAGAUCAAAUUAUGGCCAUGAAAGACAGCAUAGGCAGAGGUACUCUUUCGAUCACUCGUGUCACCUCCCCAAUCGGCAUCAGAGAAGGCAAAAAGAGAUGGGGAAGUAGAAGAUUUAAGGAGAAGGCCAUGGUCGAUGGUUCCUCGUAAGUACCGGAGUAUUCUCUUCACUGCUUGCCAAUGAUUGAUGGAAGGUGAGUGCAUGAAUUGAUUUACCUUGUUGACAGACAUAGUGAUGUCAGGUCUGGUGAGAGCUAAGUACUGAAGCGUACCUACUACUUGACGAAACAAGGUAGGAUCUUCAAAGUUGUUGGAAGAGUCCUGGACUAAGUGGACUUGUGGAGAGGAUGGCGUUGAUACAGGUGUAGCAUCAUGCAUAUUCACACGUCUCAAAAGGUCCCUGAUGUACUUAGACUGGGAGAGUUGAAGUCCAUUUGAGAGCCAAGUCACCUCUACUCCAAGAAAGUAUGUAAGGGGGCCCAAAUCUUUGAGUGCAACAACUUGCCCAAGCUGAUGAAUAAUGUCAUGAAGAAGUGAAAUGGUGGAUCCUGUCAAAAUCAGAUCAUCAACAUAUACAAGACAAUAGGUAGUAUGUUGGCCAGAGGAAUAGAUAACAAGAGAGCUAUCAGCCUUGGAUCCUUUAAAGCUAAUAUUUUGUAAUGCUGUUGUGAGGCAAAAGUACCAAGUUCGGGGAGCUUGUUUUAAUCCGUAUAAGGACUUCUUUAAAGAACACACAUGAUGUGGGUGAUUUCGAUCGACGAAGCCUUGGGGUUGCUCCAUGUAGACUGGUUCUUCAAGAGUCCCAUGUAGGAAGGCAUUUGAUACGUCUAGUUGACGAAUGGGCCAGCGAGAGUUGAUUGCAAUGGAUAAAAUGAGACGAACUGUAGCUGGUUUAAUGACAGGACUAAAGGUUUCAAUAUAGUCCGCGCCCGGCCGUUGAUGAAAGCCUUUUGCAACAAGUCUCGCUUUAUGGCGAUCAAUUGAACCAUCGGGUUUGGUUUUAAUUCGAUAAAUCCAUUUACAACCAAUGACAUUAGUGGCUUGUGAUCGUGGAACUAAAUCCCAUGUCCCAUUGGCCAUUAAGGCAUCUAUUUCAUCAGCCAUAGCUUGACGCCAAAUUUGUUGCUUUGCAGCCUCUCUAUAUGUGGUGGGGGUAGAGUGAGUCGUGGGCACGACAUGAUGAGCUUUGGGUUUUAAGUGACCAGUUUUGGACCUUGUGACCAUAGGGUGUUGUAUUUGGGUAUUUGUGGUUCGAAUUGGGUAGGCUGGGAGGUCAAUUGUGAGUUGAGGAGCUACAGGCACACCAUUGGAGCUCGGUUGAUUUGGUGGUAGUUGAGGUGUCAUGGGCACGAUAUUGGGAGCUGAUAGAGUGACUGUGGUGUUUUCUGUAGAAGUUGGAGCAUGGCUGUUUGUUGGUGGCGAGGGUUGUGUGUAUCUGGUCGCUAGUGUAGUCAGGACAUUGGGUGUAGUCAGGACAUUAGGUGUGAUUGAGUUAUUGGAGGGUGGAAUGGGCUGACCAAGAGAGAAUAUAGGAAUCGGUGAAGGUGGUGGACCGAGAAUUGAAGAUUUUCCAUCACUUUCCUUGAACGGGAACACUUGUUCAUCAAACAAAACAUGGCGUGAGUGAAAGAUUUUAUUAGUAGAUAGGGACAAACAUUUGUAGCCCUUAUGAAGAAGACUGUAACCAAGAAAUACACACUUAGAAGAACGAGGUUCAAGUUUGUUCUUAGUGUACGGAUGAAGCCAAGGAUAACAACAGCAACCAAAAACACGGAAAAAAUUAUAUUCCGGGUUACGUUGAAAAAUCAUUUGGUAAGGUGAUUUGUGGUUGAGUUUUGGAGUGGGUAAUCGAUUUAUUGUAUAAACCGCAGUGGCAAAAGCAUGGUCCUAGUAUUUUGGCGGUACUGAGGAAUGAUAUAGGUAAGCACGUCCUGUUUCAGUUAUGUGACGGUGUUUUCGUUCAGCAUAUCCAUUUUGUUCGGGUGUGUGUAGGCAAGAGCUUCUUUGUAUAAUGGCAUUUUUAGUUAAGUAAUGUCUGAGGGCUUGAAAUUCCCCUCCCCAAUCGGAUUGGAAUUGUUUGGUGGGUUUCCCAAAAAAAUUUUCAACUGUAGCUCGGAAUUUGACAAAACAAUUGAACACAUCAGAUUUGUGGCGAAGAAAGUAUAUCCAAGUGUACUUAGUGUGGUGAUCAAAAAAGAGUACAUAAUAUAAGCAACCAUCAGAAGAAGGAAUUGGGGCUGGACCCCAUAAAUCAGAACAAAUAAGUUCUAAUGGGUCUGUAGCAUUAUAAUUAGAAUCAUGAAAAGGAAGUUUAUGUGAUUUGCUGACACAACAGGUUUCACAUAAGGAGGACGUAGUCUUAGCUGAAGCAGACAAUUUAUUUAAAGAUAAAACUUUAUUGAUAGUUUUUGAACAAGCAUGGCCUAAUCUAGCAUGCCAAGUAGACAAAGAAACUGAAUUGCAAACUGGAGAAACAGGAUCCGCAGCUAACUGAUAGAGGCCAUCUUUAAUGUAUCCCUGGUGGAGUGGCUGCUUCGUUUUGCAGUCCUUAAUCACAAAAAAAGUAGGAAAAAAUUCAAGUGAGACAUCAUUAGAAGCUGUAAACUGACGAACAGAUAGUAAGUUUGCGUUAGAUUUAGGAACAUGAAGGAUAUUGUGUAAUGAAAAAGGACGAGAAUUGAGAGAUAAAUUAUUAGAACCAAUAUGAGUAAUAGGUAAGCUUUUACCAUUUGUGAGAGUAAUUUCAUCGGUUCCAGAAUAUUUGGAGUGAAUGCCCAGGUUUUCUAGUUCAGAAGUCAAGUGAUGGGUUGCUCCAGUAUCAACGAUCCAUGGUUUGGUUGAUGUGGUGGGAGAUGAAGUGAAGUUGGCUGCUGGUUUUGGUGUGUAAUCAUUAUUGUUGUUGUAUUUAGGAUUUGGACAUUGUUUGUAGGUGUGUCCUUGACCCCGACAAUUAUAACAAAUGGGUGUGAAUGAUUAAGUGUUUGCUUGAGAGGUACGCCCACGACCAGAGUUGGAAUAAUAUCCUCCACGUUUGUAUCCACGUCCUCUGCCUCGCCCGCCACUAUUAGUGUUUUGGCGAGCAUUAUAGUGAGCAACAGCAGAUGCGUUGAGGGAGGGAAUUGAGCUCUUAAGCUGCAUUUCUUCAGAGAGGAGUAAGCCAAAUAAAUCAUCAAAUGAAAUAGAAGUUAACCUUGCCUCAAUGUUGCGGGUGAAAGGUCUGUAAUCUUGUCCGAGACCGCGUAAGAUAUGAUCAAUGAGAUCAUCUUCUGAGAUGGCAGCAUCAAGAGCAAUGAGUUGAUCAAAUAAUCGCUUGGCACGAUCCAUAUAGGUGGCAAUGGAGCCGUUGUCCCGAGAUAAGGCAUGAAGAGCACUUUUGAGAGUACGAACUUGCGCUCUAGAACCAGAAGCAUAAGUGGUUUGUAAACGAGACCAAGCAGCAUAAGCUGUAGUGGCACCAACAACCUGGGGGAGAACGGAUUCCGAAAUAGAGCUUAGAAUCCAACUUAGCACAAUUUGGUCUUUGAUAUACCAGUCUUUGUAUGCUGGAUUUGCUGCGUUGUUAAUUUCUUUAGAAGGAGGAGGUGUGGAUCCAUCUAUAUGAUGAAUCAAUUGUUGGCCACAAAGGAAAGGAGUAAUCUGAGUUUUCCAUAGGAGAUAAUUGGAGGAAGUGAGUUUGAUUGUCAGUUGGUGAUGAACCGAAGGUGGAGUUAUAGGCAUUAGAGAGGAGGACGAAGAGGAAGAGGAUGAUUGUGUGGCCAUGGUGUUUAAACCUUAGCAGGCUCUGAUAUCAUAAAGAUAUUUAAAAUGUGUGUGAAUAUUGCCCACACCCCUUUCAUUUUUACUGUCAGAUAUAUAUACACUUGGUACAAUGCAUAAAAUCAAAUACCCAAGUUAGUAGGGCUGUUACAACAGAUCCUUUAGUAUUGGGAACCCAAAUUAGUAGGGCUGUUACAACAGACCCUUUGGUAUUGGGAUUUCAGUUGAUUAAGGGGGUUUGUUGCCUAUUUCCAUAAUAUUUUGAUCGCUUGGUAAAUGAUGUCGAAAAAUUAUGAAAUUUGGUUUCUAGAUAGUUCUAAUAGUAUAGAUUAUGCCUAAUGGAGCCGAUCGUCGAAUCAGAUGUCUUAUCAUCGAAAACAACUUACAAGCACGGAAGCCUCCGUACUUUCGAAAGCACGGAAGACCUACUAUAUAUAUAUAUAUAUAUAUAUAUAUAUAUAUAUAUAUAUAUAUAUAUAUAUAUAUAUAUAUAUAUAUUAUUUUUACUCUAUAUAUAAAUUAUACAAUAUUUUAUUCAUAAAUUAUCGUUUCUUUAUCCUCCUCUCUACCGUAAACCUCCGACUGGACUACGAAAGACCCGGUUUCCGCUCUCGCUGAAUUCUCUAUCUUACAAUCAUGUACCACUCCCUCGCGCAAAUGAAACUUCGAUCUCUCGUCCGCGAUCUCGUCUAACCUCUCCCUGAUUUUUUUAACCUUCCUGGCUAUUCUAGACUGAAAGAUAAUAGAGUUGGGGAGGGAAGACAGCUUACCGAGCACCGCCUUCGUGCCGCUUCCGUUCCGGCGCCGGGAAGUCCUUCUGAGUGCUUCGGCGGCGGCGACCUCGUCGAGCACGUCGUCGGCGUCGAAUGCGGCGUCCUUGAGCCUCCUCAGCCACCCGGCGAGAGCUCGCUCCUGCGCCUGCCGCGCCUCCGCGUCCGCGAGCACGUCGCGGAUGGCGGCGAGGGUCGUCUCCAGCUCGUUCAGCUCUUUCUCGACGCCCAUCACUAGCCCGAACUCCUUCGUGACCUGGGCUCCCAGCUUGUCAAACACCAGCCUUAGGAGGCUCGAGCUCACUACGUCCGCCAUCGUUGCUAGCAAUUUCUCUUCUCUGAGUGCUUCCUCUGAUGCUUUGUUGCGAUGGAGUCUAAUUAACUAAAUACUAGUCACCAAGAGAGAGAGAGAGAGAGAGAGAGAGAGAGAAGUUUCUGGGAAAUGAGUGCUCUAUAUAUGGUGCUUUUGAAAAACGCGAGUCAAGAAGAAGCGAACAAAUGUAGUUAUGAGAUUCUUGAGUGGAAGUGACUUGUGGGGACGAAGUAGGUUGUGACUUGCGAGGAGGCCUCACCUCUCAUUGCGCGUGUAAAGAUAAAAGGAAGAGAGGAAAACUAAUAUAUAAAGAAUAGUAGGAAAUGGAGAAGUAAUAAAAGAGAAAAGGCGAAGCAGGGAGAGAUACUGCCUUCGGCCUAAUCCCGCGUGGGCCUGCCAAAUCCCCGCCGUCCUCCCCGUUCAGAUUUCAUGCAACUUCUGCCUCUAUAUGACUCCUUUAAUUUGCAACUUUCAGCUCAUUUCUUGCAGGAGAAGAGCGAAAGCUCUCCCGCGCGUCCUGUAACUCCUGUUAAUCACCUGCCACGAUGCAGGUCGGAAUUUGUUGCGGUUACAACAUAUCUAGACACAAUUUCAUAUCUAAACCAAGCCAACCCCAGCUAUUUGAUACUUACUUAGGGGUGUAAUGUGGCACGGCCCACAAUUUUUUUUUGUGCCGAUUCCGGCUAGGGGCCGGCCCAGCCUGGCCCGGUUACAAAUCUGGGCUGGGCCGUGCAGGGCUGGAGCUACCAACUCUCUGGUAAACAUUUUAAACAUUUAUUAAAAUGUAUACAAAAUUUGAUUAUAUAUUUUUGGGAAAACUUUAAAAAACCCCAUGUGGUUUCGCACUUUUUCAUUUUAAUAUCUUGUUAUUUAAAGUGUAUCAAGUUAGUACCCUGUGGUUUCUCACUUUAUCACUUUAGUACCCUGCGGUUUAAAGUGUAUCAAGUUAAUAUUCUAUAGUUUUAUUUUUGUAUUAAGUUAGUAUCCUGUAGUUUUAUUUUUAUAUCAAGUUAGUACCCUAUGAUUUUUAAACCACAUGGUACUAAAGUGAUAAAGUGUGAAACCACAGGGUACUAAAGUGAUAAAGUGUGAAACCACAGUGUACUAAAGUGAUAAAGUAUGAAACCACAGGGUACUAAAGUGAUAAACUGCGAAACCACAUGGUACUAACUUGAUACACUUUAAACCACAUGGUAUUAAAGUGAAAAAGUACAAAACCAUAGGAUACUAACUUGAUACACUUUAAACCACAAGGUACUAAAGUGAGAAAAAGUGAAACCACAAGGGUCUUAUUUGAAGUUUUCCCUAUAUUUUUUACAUAUGUAUUUUUACAGUAUAUAGAUUAUAUUUAUUAAAUUAUAUUUUAGUUUAAAUGGUGAAACCUUAUAGAACCUCGAAUGGCAAAUCUUAUAGAAGCUUUUUCUUUUCCUAUGUAUGAAGAGUUGAAGACUAAAGAGCUCCUCUUAACAACUUUUUUUUCUUAUGAAUUUUUUAAUAAUUUUUUGCUUAUAUAUUCUUUUAAAAAAUUAUUUAGUUACUUACAAGUUCUUACAAAAAAUUUUGUGACACAUAAACCAAAUAUUCAAAAGGCGUAUUUGACCAAAAGUCUUGACAUUGCAUUUCAGAAAAUAAAAAAAAAUAGAAAUUUGAAACUAAAUUCUCCGGAUCUAAGCAUAAAAAGAAAAAAUAUUUUAGUUAAAAAAAAUCACAAAUGUUUAAAUUUUAAUUUAAAUAUAUCCUCCUCAAAAGCCCUUCCGGCUUUUUUUAUAAAAUAACCUUUUUAAAUUUUAUUAUUUACGAAAUAAUCUUGUCUAAAUUAUAUUUAAAAAAUUAAUCUCUUAAAGACGGCGAAUGAUUUAUCGCUUUCAUAAUGAGUCUAAUUUCUUAGAAAAAUGGUAAAUCAUUCACUGUCUUUCGCUUGUUUAUUGUUUCUUUCUAUAAUCCUAACAACCAUAUAAAUAUUUCAACAAAUCACAUAUAAUCUUAACAAUCUGAAAAUUCUAAUAAUUUAUCCAUACAAUCCUAACAAGCAAAAAGAUCCUAAUAAUCUAUCCAUAUAUUCGUAAUAAUCAAACAUUACAUAAUCUUAACAAAUUGAAAAUUCUAAUAAUAUAUUCAUAUAAAUCUUAACAAAUUGAAAAUUCUAAUAAUAUAUCCAUAUAAUCCUAACAAUAAAAAAAAAUAAUAAUCUAUCCAUACAAUUCUAACAAUCAAAUAAAAAUUUUAAUAUUCUACACACAAUUCUAACAACCUCAUUUUUUUUAUUUCCCGUAUAAUCUACGUACAAUUUUAACAACCUCAUUUUUUUUCUCAAAAAAUUAUUAAAAAGACGGUGAAUAAUUCACCGCCUUUAAAAGGCCUUAGAAACUUUCAGAAUGCAGUGAAUGAUUCACCGCGUUUUGAGAGUUAAUUUGUUAAAUACAAAUUUGAUAAGAUUAUUUUGCAAAUUAUAAAAUUUUAGAUGGUUAUUUUGUAAAAUAGUCCCAUCCUCUCCUACUGUCAGACAAGCAACCAAAAAAAUAUGCAUACCUAUAAAAUCUGCAUCCCCCAAAACAGAGUAAGAAAAAUAAACAAAACCAAAUAGAACAAAAAUUUGUGAAAUGAGUAAUUUCAUCAGAAAUAGUAAGGCUGAGCUUGACCUUUCUGACAGUAAAUCAACAAAUAGAAGGAACGAAAAUGAGCAAAGGCAAUAUAUUUUGGAUUGGGGGAGGCAUUGAAAUUGAAUUGUAUAUGAAAUGAGGUGAGUGAAUCCAAAUUGCAUGGUAUGUGAUUAACAUAUGUAAAAGUCAAAUAAAUUUGUAAAACAUGUAAUUACACUAUCUUUCAUUUACAUGGAAUUCACACUCUCGGUAGAAUCAAAAUACCUUCUCUGUCAAACAGACAACUCACAAUCCUAGGGGAUUAAACUCGAGACGAGCUUUUUUGAUCUAACAUUAAAUAAAAACACCCGUGUGCGACAAUCCUUAAAUUGCAUUGAAGUAUUGAAGAUAGCAAGCUAGGUCUAUUCUAGUACUUCAACAGCCCUAAAGUGAAAGAAAAUAAAAAAUAGUCACGAAAAGAAUUCUGAAAAAAAAGUGUUACGAUAAACGCACAAACGAAAACGAAAAUAACGAACACAAAAUAGUCAAACCACAAGCAAAAAUAAAAAAGAACACACAGAUUUACAUGAAAAAUCCUUUAUAGAAAAAAACCACGGAUGAGUGAGGAGAGAACUUCACUAUCGAACAAAAAAGGGGAAUACAAUGUUCGGAGAGUACAACCAACUUCAAUCGGUCGCCUCUAGGGCAAAAACGAAAAGAAAACUCUUAACGGGGCAUGUUGGCCCGAGCCCUCUGCUAUCCACCACAAACAUUUAUUUUUUCCUUCACAAUUUUACUUUCCAAUUUGGUCACACCGCGAAACUGUCGACGAGUCAAAAUUUGAACCGAAGUCGAUUAUCAAUUUCGAAUAACAUCUAACAGAAAGAGAGAUUAAGAUCUGCAAAAAGCAUCAGCUCUUCUUCUGUCUUUUUGCUGCUUUGUUAUUGCAAACUUACUAGACAAAAUGAUGCUGGAUUUCCCGUCAAGUUCAGCAUAGUCAUGCAUAUUGUUCACAAACUCAGAAAUGAAAUUGCCGACAAACUGGAUUUCCUCGUCGUCAUUGUUUUUUGAAAGGAAUGUAUAGGGUAUUUCCUAUACAUUUCAUUGAAUGUAAUAAGAAUUACAUGUAAAACAAGUAUAAAUUAUAAUUGUUGGGGCUGAGUAGGCCCGCAGCAAUAAUUGAUCCCCCAAAUUGAACCCCCAGUUACAAAAAUUUGAACCACAUUAGUGCAUCAUUGUGAGAUACUCGAGCUAGCUCUUCAGAUGAUCUAUACAACCCGUUGAAGACGUGAAGCUGACAUUCUAAGUGAUAUUCCAGGAUUAGAUCUGAGAUGCUCGAUAAGCACCUGAGGUAGAGAUGAUUUGGAGAGACUAGUGCAGUUUCCUAUAUCUAGACCAUCAAGGUUCGGAAAUGCUCCGCUCUCGAAGGCAGAAAGAAGCAGCUGGUCAUCGCAACACAUUGAAAGCUCUUUAACUGAUGGGAAAUCUGACGGCAAUGCUCUCAGUUUUGGGCAUGAUUCUAUCCUCAGGUCCGAGAGAAGAGGAAAGAAUUCUUGCCCCGCAAAUCCAAACCACUCCUCCAGCUUAGACAUGCAUGAUAGUGUCAAUUUCUCCAAAGCCAAGAACGCACCUUUCCCGCCAUAAAACUCUGAGCCCAAGCACUCAACCUCAGGAAGACAAGAUAGACUCAGGACCUUAAGAGAAGGACACUGCCCAAGGGGCGGAAGACGCUUGAUAGCAAGAAGAUUGUCUAAAUCAAGGAUCUUAAGGUGAUGCAGCUGGAUGAGUUCAGGAAGAGUCUCAGAUCUAACAAAGGUUCCCAAUUUAAGCUCUACAAGAUUAGGAAGUGUCGACUCCAACAGCCAUCUUGGAAACGUAUUUCCCAAGAAGCCUUCAAUCUCCAAUACGGUCAAAUUUUGGUGUGGUUGGAGGCCCUCAAGAAUUUUCUCGGCCAACUCACUGUCGGUAUCCCACUCUUGUGCCAGAAAUGCUUCCAUGAUUUUGUGCAUGCUUUCUUCAUCAUUGUUGUUACUUGCACAUUCAUCUAUUAUCUUUUUGUAAGCAUUCAGAUCCCAUGACAAAUGCAGUGAUUGAAGAUUCUGCUUUCCGAUCAAGUUAGCCUCCUUCGCCUCUUCUGCAUUUUUCACAUUUUCCAGCUUUCUUAUAUCUAAUCGGCCUUUAAGAUUGAGUCGGUUGAGCUCUCCAAGGCUGCACUUGUUCCUUCCACCAGCCACAAAGAUCGGUAGUGUUCGAAGGCAACUCAAUUGUCCUAUCCCUGAAGGCAUACAUGUCAGUUCAUAGCAAGCAUAUAUGUCUAGAUGUACAAGGCUUGCCAUGUUUUUCAUGUUUUCCGGAAGUUUGCGUACAAAGCAACAGUGUCUAAGUCCCAAUGAUCGAAGAUCUGAGAGGCAGCUAACGGAUUCGGGCAACUUUUGGAUGCCAGAAAUGGAGAGGUCUAAGUUUUGCAAACUUCUAAGACGGCCGAUUGAGGAUGGUAAAGAAAGAAGGCGCGAACAGCCACUAAGGUCCAAUUUAUAGAGAUUGAAGAGGUCACCAACGGUUUCUGGCAAUGCUUGUAGACUUCGACAACUUGCUAGGUUCAAGAUCUGCAGAUUCUGAAGGAGGCCAAUUGAUGGUGGAAGGUUUUUAAGGCUUGUCAAUGACAGAUUAAGGUACCUUAGAUGCCGAAGAUUUUUAACCGAAACUGGAAGUUUUUUCAUGGGGUAGUGGGCAAGAUGAAGUGAUCUUAGAAGCUUCAUGUUAGAGAAUAUAAUUUGAAGAACCUCGAGAAUCUUAUUGUAGUCGUCCUCAUUUUUGUUUAGGCGCAUUAACCUGCUAUGUGGUGCAACUAAAUAUAAGGUUCGCAACUUGUUUGCCUUAUUCAAAACUUCUAGAAUCGACGAUAUUGGCUCGUUUUUGCAGAGAAAUGAUGAAUAACGUGUGGUUGAAGCAAUGUCUCUUUUGGUACCACUAGGGUCAACAAUCGAGCACUCUUCCCCGGCAACGGACUGUGCAAGAUCGUGAACUAGGUCAUGCAUUUUGAUACUUAAUACUUCACCAUCUGAGCCUCUCCUAUAACUCUCAAAGAGAGAUCUUGAUAAUAACUCAUCCACAUAGCGCAAACCAAUAUCAGUCAAUUCUGCUCGCCUAUCUAAUGACUGAACGAAGCCUUCUGCAAUCCAAAGUUGGAUUAAUUUGUCGAUAUCUAUAGAAUUAUCCUUUGCAAAUAUGGAGCAAUAUGCAAAACAUUGUUUCAAACGUGGCGGCAAAUGAUUAUAACUCAACCUUAGGGCCGGCAAAAUUUCAUUCUCUUCAUCAGGUAAGUUCCAGAUAUCAUUGUCCCUAAUUGCCAACCACUCACUUUCCCUCCUCUUGAAUCGCAUCAAACUACCCAAAGCCUUUGCUGCCAAGGGAACACCGCCGGCUUUCUUCACAAUCCAUUUUCCGAUGGUUACCAAGUUUCCUGUCUUCGCACCGGCACCCAACCCGAAUGCUCUCCGCUCAAACAACAACCAGCAAUCAUCCUCUGAUAGACCGCGCAAAAUGUGAGGCUCAACCGUGCCCAUCAAAGAGGCAACUCUUACGUUCUGAGUGGUCACUACGACCUUACUUCCCCUGCCACCGGCGGUCAGCAAAGUCCUCAAUCUAUCCCACUUCUCGGAAUUCUCAUUCCAAACAUCAUCGAGCACGAGCAAGAAUCUCCUUCCCUCCAGCCUUUCCAUAAGCGAACGUUGCAUCGGCUCCAUGCUCGUGAGAUCAAACUUCGCUCCGGUCACAGAUUCCACGAUCGAUCUAAUAAGCCGUCUAGAGUCAAAAUCAUCAGAGACACAAACCCAUAUCAUCUCCUCGAAAUGGCCGUGCACCCUUCGAUCAUUAUACACUAACUGCGCGAGGGUCGUCUUACCGAGCCCUCCCAACCCGACAAUCCCAAUAACCCCAGGAUCAACCUCACUAGACAUGUCCAGCAGAAACUCAACUAUCAUUUCUUUAUCCUCCUCUCUACCGUAAACCUCCGAUUCGACUACGAAAGACCCGGUUUCCGCUCUCGCCGAAUUCUCUAUCUUACAAUCAUGUACCAGUCCCUCGCGCAAAUGAAACUUCGAUCUCUCGUCCGCGAUCUCGUCUAACCUCUCCCCAAUUUUUUUAACCUUCCUGGCUAUUCUAGACUGAAACAUGAUAGAGCUGGGGAGGGAAGACAGCUUACCGAGCACUGCCUUCGUGCCGCGGGAUGUCCUUCUGAGAGCUUCGGCGGCGACCUCGUCGAGCACGUCGUCGGCGUCGAAUGCGGCGUCCUUGAGCCUCCUCAGCGACCCGGCGAGCGCUCGCUCCUGCGACUGCCAAGCCUCCGCGUCCGCGAGCACGUGGCGGAUCGCGGCGAGGGUUGUCUCCAGCUUGGUCAGCUCUUUCUCGACGCCCAUCACUAGCCCGAACUCCUUUGUGAUCUGCGCUCCCAGCUUGUUAAACACCAGCCUCAGGAGGCUGGAGCUCACUAUGUCCGCCAUUGCUGCUAGCAAUUUCUCUUCUCUGAGUGCUUCCUCUGAUGCUUUGCUGCAAUGGAAUCUAAUUAAAUGCUAGUCACCAAGAGAGAGAGAGAGAGAGAGAGAGAGAGAGAGAAAAGUUUCUGGGAAGCGAGUGCUUUUGAAAAAGAGAGUAAAGCAGAAGAGAACAAAUGUAGUUAAGUUUCCCAGUAGAGAUUCUUUGAGUAGGGAUGAUGGGAUGUGGAAGUGACCUUGUGGGGACGAUGUCGGUUGCGAGGGAAAAAUUAUAAAAUACAAUGAUAUAUUGAUGACGUGACGUAACAAAUUAAUCAAAAAAAUUUUAAAAAAAAUUAUGUCCCAUCAUAAUUAUAAAAAAAUAUUUUUAUUAUACUUUUAUUUGAAAAAAAAAAAUAUGAUUGACUUGUUAUUGAUGACAUGGUACAAGUGUGAUACUAUAGAAUUUCUCGUUGCGAGGAGGGCUCACCUCUCAUUGCGCGUGUAGAGGCAAAAGGCAAAGAGGAUAACUAAUAAUAAAGAAUAGUAGAAAAUGAAGAAGGAAAAGAGAAAAAGGCGAAACAAGGAGCGGGACUGCCUUCGGCCAAAUCCCGCGCGGGCCUGCCGAUCCCCCGCCGUCCUCCCCAUUCGUUCAGAUUUCACGCAACUUCCGCCUGUAUAUAACUGACUCCUUUAAUUUGCAACUUUCAGCUCAUUUCUUGCAGGAGAAGAGGCGAAAGCUCUCCCGUGCGUCCUGCAACUUCUGUUAAUCACCUGCCACAAUGCAGGUCGGAAUUUGUUGCGGUUACAACAUUUUUAGACAAUUUCAUAUCUAAACCAAGCCAACCCCAGCUAUUUGGUACUUACUUAGGGGUGUAAUGUGGCACGGCCCACAUUUUUUUGUGUCGAUUCGGGCUAGGGGCCGGCCCAGCCUGGCCCGGUUACAAAUCUGGGCCGGACCGUGCCGGGCUGGAACUACCAACUCUUUGGCCCAGCACGACCCUUCGGUCUAGAAGGCCUAGGCCGUGCCCGGCCGGGCUGGGCCGUGCUACGGGCAGGCCUCUAAAAUUUUUUUAUUUUUUUUAAAAAUAUAUUAAAUUUAAAAUAUAAAUAAAUAAUUUUUUUAUUUAAAAGUUUAAAAUUUAUAAAAGUAAUUAUAAUAUAAUAAAUAUUUGUAAUUUUUUAAAAAAUAUAUAUAAUUUUUUAUGUUUUUGAAAAAAAAAUAAAUUGAGAGAGUUUUUGUUUGGUCCAUUGGACCAAAAACCUCCUUCCAAGGUUUGCCAGAGGAGAUCUCCUGGAGAGAUGGGCCCAGAAAAUCAUUGGGGUUCAAGUCGUGCGGGCCCGGCCUAAGCAGGUCUUGCCGUGUCGAGCCACGGGCCUCUCCUUGGUCCGGUAUGGCCCAGGCCCGUUUCGGACCGUACUGGGCCAGAUUGUUGGGUCCAAGAGGAGAGGCCCAACACGGCCCUCAAGCUCCAUUCGGGCCGGGCCGGCACGGAUGCUACAGCAACCGUUACAAGCUCUAGCCCGGCCCGAGGCCUUGCCAGGCCAGGGCCUAUAGGCCGCCGAGCCCGUUUUACACCCUCUAUUCUUACUAUGUGGAUAUUGGGACAACUCGAAUAUAAAGAAGAGUAUAUUUUAUAUAUUUUAAUUUUUUACAUUAAAAUUUUUAGCUUUUUAAAUUUUCUUUCAACCUUUCUGCUAAUAGUAGGACUGAUAAUUUAACUUAUUAUUCGAAAGCUGUCUCGUAUUCGGUCGCUAAUAAACAAGCCGAGCACGAACUAAUUUUUUUAGCUUGAUAUUUUAACGAGACAAUUCGUAUUCGGCUUAUUUAAUAAAUGUACAAAUACGAGCCGGCGCAAUUCGCUCGUGUUCAGCUCAUUAACAGCCCUACUGCUUAGAUAGAAGAGAUCUGUUAAUUUGAGACUUAAAAAAGUAGAUAAAUAAUUUAAAUAAAAAAGAUCCUCUGUAUUUUUAAUACUAUGUCUAUCAAUUUUAUUUUUUUUUUCAAUUCAUAUACUUUGUUGCAUAACUUAUAACUAACUUAAUCUGCAAAUUUAUUUUUGUAAAGCUUAAUUUACUAUUGAAUUCAACAGUAAUUCUAAAUAGUUGAAUCCGCUCAAGACAAUUAUGGCAAAGUGUAGGACUAAUUAAUUAAUUUCUUAUGUAGAGGGUUCGCGAGAUAUGAGAUCAAAUUCAAGGGGGUUUUUGUUAAAAGAAGUCUUUAUUUUACUGCAAUGUCCUGUUUGGGUACAUAAUAAAACAAUUUUAUGAAGUUUAUAUUCUGUAAUUUUGGUUUGAACAAAACAAAAAAAUUCUGUAAUUAUAAAAGUUUCCACAGCUACAGUUUUAAAUUAUUUGGAUUCACAUCAUAUAAUUUGGUAGCAACUCCAAAAAUUAAGAUUUUAUUUAAAAUUUAAAAUUUAACUAUAUUUGAUGGCUCGAGUUUUGACACUUUCUUUGUAUAGUGAAUUCGAUGGCUUUAUUUGCACAAUAAGAAAAUUGAAUUUGAACUGAAUUUAGAAUUUACUGUUUUGGUAUCAAGUUAACAUAAAAUAAUUAAUGGUUUUUAUUCAAAAACUUAAACUACCAUGUAACAGUACUUUUAAUAUUAAUAUUAUUCAACAAUAUCAAUUAUCUAUUUGCAUAAAAAAACUCAUAUAUCUCAAAAAGGCCAAAAUUAUUGGAAUGCUUAUUAUAUUUAAAUUUCAAUUGGAUAAAGAAAGUAAUAGAAUACAUAAGUGAAUUUGAUAGUUUUAUUUGUGGGAGAAAAAAAAAAUACAAUGCAGGCGAAACUGCAAGAGUUUUUUUUUUUUUUUUUUUUUUUUCCAAGUUGGCCCCACAAUCCAUAUAAUUGUAGAACACAAACAAAUUUACUAAAUUCAAAGUCAUAAAAUACAAGCAGAGUUCAUUUGCCUCAACAUUGGUAGCAGAAUUUACUUUUUGAAUAAAUAAAGAGAAUAGUAUGCUAUUUUGAUCUCAGAAAAAAAAAAAAAAACAAACUUGCAAAGAAUAUAUAUAUAAUGGGCAUUGUACUGAUUGCCAUACCUUUUUUAUCUUUUUUUUUUUUUGAGAAAAAGAUAGCGAGCUAUCUGCUUCAUUCAUUAGGGGAAAUGAACUAGGCUUACAUGGUGGAAGCCAGAAAGCUCGUUCCACGCAGUGAUCAGACGAUUGACCCGUUCCAGUGAGCGGGAAGGGUCGGGUGAUAUGUCGUUGAAUAUAAGAUUAUUCUGGUCGGUCCAGGCCACCCACCACGUAGCAGCCAAAAGGGUUGUGCGUUUAGUGCUCUUCCCAUCCUCACCAAGAUUGUUUGCCCACUUCCAAAGACCGGUGACAUUCUCCGUGGGCUCUGCGAAGCUCGCUCCUUCCGCACUGAGGAGAAGGUAUUUUACGAAAACGCAGUGACUGAAAAGGUGUUCACAGGUUUCCGUGUUUAGGGCGCAGAAAACGCACUGUUGGUCUACCGUCAAGCCACGUUUAUAUAGGCGAUCAGCGGUUAGAAGUCUCUUACGCAGUAGAAGCCAUGUGAACACUUUGAUUUUAACAGGGGUGCGCAUUCUCCAGAUUAGGUGGCUCGUUGGGUCUCUCACACUUGUGUUUGAUAGAAAUCGGUAGAGGGAUUUGACGGAAAAAAGUUGGUUGGGAGUCCAUCGCGCAAUAUUCCAAAACAAAAGGCUAUAGGAGUUCCGCAAUGCAUCUGAUGAAGUCUAGAUCAUCAUCAUGCAUAGGAUUCCACCAAUAGAAGUCUCGACAUUUUACGGAUGUUAAGUGCUUCGCGAGAAUUCGUGGAACAAAUGGUCGAGCAAGAUCAUAGGAAUUUGCCAAGUGCACAAUCUUGAGAUUUGGAAAUGCGCCAUGAGGGAGAGAAGAUAGCAGCAGCUUACUAUUAGCACACAAAUACAGUCGCUCUACGGAUGGAAAAGACGAGGGUAGUUCUUUCAAUUUUCGACAAUCUAGUAGCCUCAACUCCGACAGACGAGGGAAAGAUCGCCGCCCAGCUGAUGCUUCACACCACUCCUCCAACUCAGGCAUGUGUUCUAGACUCAAGUUCUCCAAUACUGGGAAAGCACCAUCGCCUGCACCGUAGAACUCUGAGCCCAGGCUCUUGACUGCUAGGAGAGCAACGAGAUGUAAGACUUUAAGAGCAGGCAACUGCCCCAGCGAUGGAAGAGACUUGAUGGCGGGAAGCUUCUCGAGAGAAAGGAUCUCAAGGUUAUGCAACUGACUUAUUUUUGGGAGGGUCUCACAUCUGAAACAAAAAGAUAAGUAAAGCUCAAGAAGAUUUGGAAGACUUGACUCCAACCAUUUCGGAAAAGUUUUGCCCGGGUAGCGAUAUAUCGCCAAUAGGGUCAAAUUUUCAUGCGGUUGGAGGCCAUCGAGGACUUCUUCGGCUACCGCAAGUGCACUGAUCAGACCUUGCCUGCUUCUUCCUUCUACGUCAGUGCGCACAUAGGCUUCCAUCUGUUUCUUAUAAGUAUCCAGGUCCCAUGCCAACCCUAGUGAGUGAAGACCAUCCAUUUCAAUUAAGUUAGCCUCUCUAGCCUGCUGGACAUUCUUCACAUUUUCUAGGCUAGUAAUCAAUAGGAUGCCUUCAAGAUUAAGUCUGUUGAGCUCCUUGAGGCCGCACUCGCUCUUCUCGCAAAGAUCAAAGAGCAGUAGUUCUCGAAAGUAGCUUGGCUGUGUAAGUCCAGCGGGCAUGCGCGUUAAUUUAUGGCAAUGACCUGGGUGAAGACAUGUAAGGCUUUUUGUAUUCUUUUUGUUCUCCGGGAGCUCGUGUAGAAAGAAACAGUGUCUUAUAUUAAUUGAUCGAAGAUUUGAGAGGCAACAUAAGCUUUCGGGCAACUUUUUUAUUCUCGUAUGUGCCAAGUUUAAGGUUUGCAAACUCUUUAAAUGGCCAAUGGAAUUUGGUAGGGAGACAAAGCUUGUACAACAUUCAAGAUUCAGUGUUAGUAUGUUGGAGAGAUUACCAAUGGAGUCUGGUAAUUCUUUUAAAAAUCGACAUCCUUGCAUGUCCAAAACAUGCAGAUUUUGCAGAAAACCAAUUGAUUGUGGCAGUGCUUCAAGGUUUGUGUAUGACAAAUUGAGAUACCUUAGGUGUCUGAGAUUACCAAUUGAAUUUGGCAAUUCUUUGAUUGGGUAGUAUUUAAGAUAAAGUGCUCUUAGAAGCUUCAUACUAGAGAAAACAGUUUGAAGAAUCUUCAGCAUCAUAUCUUCCUUUCCUAUCUGCACAAAAGGAUGUGAUUUGAGGAAGUAAAAGGUUCUCAACUUUUUGACUUCAUUGAGGAUCUCUAGAACCGAUGGUAUUAUCUCUAUUGUGUAGAUAAAAGACGAAUAACGUGUCGAAGGAUAUAUGUCUCUUCUAUUGACAGCUUUGGCAAUGCUUGAACAUUCUUCACCUGAAACAAAUUGAGCGAGAUCAUGAACAAGAUCAUGAAUCACGACAGCACCUAUCACAUGCCUAGGUUCCUCGAAAAGUGAUCUCGAUAAUAGCUCUUGGAUAUAUUGGUAACCCACGUCUUCCAAUUCCACACUCUCGGUGAGUGACCGAACAAAUCCUUCAGCAAUCCAAAGUUGGAUCAGGUCCUUAAUUAUUAUAAUAGUAUCCUUUGGAAAUAUGGAGCAAUAUGCAAAGCAUUGCUUCAAGUGCGAUGGCAAAUGAUUAUAACUCAACCUUAGAGCUGGUAAAAUCCCAUUCUCUUCUAACUUCCAACUAUCAUUAUCCCGAACAGCCAGCCACUCUUUUUCCCUUCUCUUAGAGCGCAUCAAGCUACCUAAAACCUUCGCUGCCAACGGGACACCGCCACAUUUUUUCACAAUCUCCUUUCCAAUGGUAACCAAGUUUGCGGUCUUCUCACAAGCACCUAUCCCAAAUGCUCUUCUCUCAAACAACAACCAACAAUCAUCCUCAGAUAAAGUCUUCAAAAAGUGUGGCUCCACCGUGGCCAUUACUGAGGCUACUCUACUACUACGGGUGGUCACUAUUAUUUUACUUUCGGUCGCACCAAUAGUUAGCAAAGUCCUAAAUUUGUCCCACUUCUCAUAAUUUUCAUUCCAUACAUCAUCCAGCACGAGCAAAAAUCUCUUUUUCUCAAGCUCCUGUUUUAGUUUAGACUGCAUCGACGCCAUGCUUGUGAGAUCGCAAGCAUUUUCUGUUGUAUGCUCGAUUAUUGAUCUGACAAGCCUUUUAUGGUCAAAAUCAUCAGAAACACACACCCAUAUUCUUUUCUCAAAGUGAUCGCUUAUUUGUCGAUCAUUAUAGACUAAUUGCGCGAGUGUCGUCUUACCGAGCCCUCCCAUCCCAACAAUUGCUAUAAUCCCGAGAUCACCUCCAGACCUGUCCAGGAGAAAUUCGAUGAUCUUUUUCUUAUCUUCUUCCCGACCAUAAACUUCCGAUUCGAUUACGAAGGAACUAGUUUCUUCUCUUGCAAUAUUCUCUUGCCUACAGCAUGUUACUACAGAUCUCUCUUGCAAAUGAAACUUAGAUCUCUCCUCUGCGAGCUCAUCUAGUCUCUCCCUAAUCUCUCUAAUCUCCCUACCAAUCUUAAACUGAGAAAUAAAUGAGUCAGGCAAAGAUAACAGGUUACUCACCGUUCCCAUCAUCCAGCUAGCAGUACUGCUUUCCGGAUCAGCUAAACUCCUCUUCCGGUUCUUGGCCAAGCCCUCGUCUAGCAGAUCGUCGAUAUCAUAGGCCACGUCUUUGAGGCGUCGCAGCCACCCUUUGAGAGCUUUCUCCUGCACUUGCCGCGCCUCCGCAUCCUCGAGCACGUCGCGGAUGGCGGAGAGGGUGCCCGCCAGCUUCUUCAGCUCGGUGCCGACGUCCAUCAGCUGACCAAACUCGCUUGUGAUUCGGUCCCUCAGUCUGUCCAGCAAUGAGUUCAGGACGCCGGAAGCCACUACGUCUGCCAUUUUCUUUUUGAUGUAAUCAAUCGAUCGAUCGAUCAAGAAUUGAAUGAAAUUAAGAUGAAUAAGGCUAAACGAAAGGAGAGGAGACCAGUUUUACGCUGUGCAAAAGACUUGACUUGAGGAUCCUUCCAUGUCGGCGGGUGAUUGGCCUGAGAGUAGAAAAAAAAGUCAUACAAGAAGAAAAAUGGAGGGCGAAACAUCAGCAUUCUCGCAAGAAAAAUAAAAGGGAGGCCAAAUUAAGGUCAUUCUCAGGUUGACCAAAUCAACCUGCCUACUCUUUCUGCAAUAUUUUGAUUAGGACUUUCUCUAAGACCGUCAUAUUUUUUUAUGAGUACGAGGGCCAUCGUACUCAUAAUAGUAUAGUAGCCGGACCCUAUAUAUAUAUAUAUAUAUAUAUAUAUAUAUAGGUAUAUAGAGUCCGGCUACUAUACUAUUAUGAGUAUGAUCGCCCUUGUAUUUGUAAGUUAUUUUCGAUGAUAAAGCUUCCGAAUCGACGAUCCACACCGUUAAACAUUAUUUACAGUAUUUAAAACUUCUAAAAAUCAAAUUUUAUAAUUUUUCGACAUCAUUUACCUUACGAUCAAGAGGUCACAAAUUUGACAAUUUUAAUUAACGGCCGGUAUCAGAUACUUGCUAGUUUAACGGUGUAAAAAAAUUAGAAUUUGUUGAAUUUUUGAUAGAAAAUUUUAUUCACUACAUAGAUAAAGAUCAAUAACUCUGAUCUUUAAUUGAAGGAUCCGAUCAUCCUUUUUUAGGACGUCAUUCGAUUUUGAUCAUUCAUUUUAUGCCCACUUGAUGGACUUUAUUAUGAUUUCGAAAAUUUACGAAAUUUAUUUUUUAGAAGUUUCAAAUACUCUAGAUCAUAUUUAAUGAAGUGGAUCGUCGAUUCGGAAGCUCUAUCAUUGAAAACAACUUAUGAGUAUGAGGGCUCCAAUACUCAUAAUAGUAUAGUAGCCACGGCCUAUAUAUAUAUAUAUAUAUAGAGAGAGAGAGAGAGAGAGAGAGAGAGAGAGAGAGAGAGAGAGAGAGAGAGCAGGACUGCUGUGCUCUUAGGAGCACGGAGGCCUCCGUGCUCCUGAGCCGUUUUCGAUGAUGAAAUUUUCGAAUUGACGAUCGGUUCCGAAAGACUUGAUCUAGCGCAUUUGAAGUUUCUCGAAAAUAAUUUUUGCGAUUUUUUGAUUUCAUUUAUCUAGUGAUCAAAAGGAUUCAAAAUUCAUAAUUUUUAAUGGUUGAUAUCUGUCAUUUUCAAAUUUAACGGUGUAGAAGUAUUCAAAUCAGAUGAAAUUUUGAUACAAAAUUUUUUAUACUAUUUACAACAAGAUCAAUAUUUCUGAUCCAAAAUUUUGGUGCUAUAUCACCACUUUUUAUAGGAUUUUUAUUUUCAGCCGUUAAAAAUUAUUGAUUUUGAAUCAUUUCGAUUGCUAGGUAAAUGAUAUUGAAAAAUCGCAAAAAUUAUUUUCUAGAAACUUCAAAUAUGCUAGAUCAAGUUUAACGGAGCCGAUCGUCGAUUCGCAGACUCCAUCAUCGAAAACGGCUCAGGAGCACGGAGGCCUCCGUGCUCCUGAGAGCACAGCAGCCUAGCACUCUCUCUCUCUCUCUCUCUCUCUCUCUCUCUCUCUAUAUAUAUAUAUAUAUAUAUAUGAUAUGAACUAAGUUAUUUGAAUUAGCACAAAUUUCUGUGCUUUGACAUCUAGAAUCUUAAUUUUCACUUUAUUUCAAAAGAAAAAAUUGCAUAAGUUUUAAUUUCAUACAACAAAAGAAGUUCCACUUAUUGCUCUAGGUUUUCUAUCUUAAUUUUUUAUAUAAAUAGGCUAUUAAAUUAAAUAGCAAAAUAUAUGUUCUACAAAUUACAAUAAACUAUCUUAUUUUACAAACCACAUAGUAAUAAAAUAAUAUAUUUUACUAUGUAUUUUAAUAUUUUAAAAUAAAUGUUAUCAUUCUAAAAUACUUUUUUAAAGAAUUUUGAAGUUAAGGGCAAAAUGGGCAACCACAUUCAUGACAAUUUAAACACUGUAGCAUUCUGAAAGAGACGGAAAUCAGUAGUAAGGAUAUAUUUGAAAGAUAAUAAGUAUUUGUAGGCGUAUUUGUGAUAUAAUUAAAUUUAUAGGGACAUCUAUGAUAUUUUUGAAGUUUAGAAGGGCGUGAAUAAAAUUGACUCAAAAUAAUAUGUGUUAUUUGGAGAACAAGAGACAUUGUGAUAUAAGUUAGAAUAAUAGUAAAUUUAUAUUUGAAUGUAUUUAGAGAGUAAAACUAUACGUAGACCGCUCACUUUGAAGAGAUCUAUUAAUUUGAGACUUAAAAAAAUAAUAAUAAUUUAAAUAAAAAAUCUUUUAUAUUUUUAAUACUCUCAAAAUUGAUAGUUCACGAAUUUUUUUUUUCAACUUAUAUACUUUGUUGUACAACUUAUAACUAACUUAAUCUGCAAACUUAUUUUUACAAAGCUUUACAAUUGAAUUCAACAGUAAUUCUAAAUAGUUGGAUCCCUUCGAGACAAUUAUGGCAAAGUACAGUACUAAUUAAUUAAUUUUUUACGUAGAGUGUUCACGAUAUAUGAGAUAAAAAACAAAGGGUCUUUUUGUUAAAAGAAGUCUUUAUUUUUACUGUAAUGCCCUAUUUGGAUACAUAAUAAAAAAGUUUCAUGGAGUUUAGCUAUAUUCUGUAAUUUUGGCUUGAAAGAAAUAGAAAAUUUGGUAACUAUAAAAAAUUUCACAGAUUUAAUUUUAAACUGUUUGGACAUAUAUCAUAUCAUUCCACAAAAACUCCAACAAUUAAAACUUUAUGUAAAUUUAAAAUUUAACUAUUUAUGAUGGCUCGCUUCUAGUUUGGCACUUUUUUGUGUAGUGAAUUUGAUGGCUUUAUUUGCACAAUAAGAAAAUUGAAUUUGAUUUGAAUUUAGAAUAUACUGUUUUGAUUUGAAGUUAAAUAAUAUAAAAUAAUUGUUUUUCUUCAAAAACUUCAACUACCAUAUAUUAGUAUUUUUAAUAGAGAAAUGAUUCGGUACCUUUUAAAAAAAAAAAAAAAAGAUCUUAACCGUUGAUUAAUAGAGGGUAAAAAUGUAAUUUUAAUACUUAGCAUGUAAAAGGAUUAUUAUAUUCAAGGUUAGUUUGGUAAUUAAACAAUAUAACAUUUAAAGAAACUUUUAAUUGAGUUCCUAAAUUUACGCAUUAAUUUGCACUAAUUUAAGAAAUUAAUUGAUUAGCCAAAGUUAUGCAUUAAUUAGGCAAUUUAGGCAUCUACUUUAAAUGUUUUAGUGUUUCUAAAAUUAUGCAUUAAUUUAUAUUAUAGGAAUUUUAGAAAUAGUUUUAUUUCUAAAUACAAUGAAUUUAAAUUUUAAAUAUUAAAUAUUUAAAAUUUAAAAGUGUAAUUAAAAUUAGAGGAAUUUUAUAUUACUAUUUAAAAAAAAUUUAAUGUUGGUAAAUAUUUUAAUUCAACAUAUUUAAUAUGUUUAAGAAACUUUUAAACUCCUAUAAUUUAGACAUUAAUUUUGUAUCAUUUAUUUAAAAAAUUUUGAAUGUAGGUUAAAAUAUUUAUAAUUUAAAUGUAUUUAAUAAGUUAAAAAAAAUUUAGAAUUGUUCUACUUUAGAUAUUAAUUUUGUAUGACUAUUUAAAAACAUUUGUAAUGUUGGUAAAUAUUUAAAUUUAACAUAUUUAAUACGUUUAACAAAAUUAGGAAUUCAUCUUAAUCAUUAAUUUUGUUUACUAAUUUAAAAAAUUAAAUGUGGGCAAAUAUUUAAAUUCAACAUAUUUAAUAUAUUUAAAAAAAUUUAAGAAUUUUUCUAAUUUAGAUAGUAUUAUCACUAUUUAAAAAAUUUAAUGUAGAUAAUUGAUUAGAAAUAUAGGGUAAGGAUAUAAUUCAAAUUUAUUUGUAGUAUACUAGUAUCCCUACACUUAGUAUAUAUAUAUAAGUGUGUGUGUGAGGGUACGUGUGUGUGUGUGUGUGAGUGCACAUGUGUGAGUUUGUGUAAUGCCAUGUGGCAUCACCUCCCCCCCCCUCUUUUAUGCAUGCAGGGAAGAGAGAGAGAGGAGUUUAUCUCCUCUCUUCUCUCCUUUUCUCUUUCGUUCGGCCGUACCAAGGAAGCACGCGAGGGACGCCGCCGCGGAGCCGAUUUCGCCGUCGACGUCGCACCGCAGAGCCGUUCGAACCUACGGUUGCUGCCGUUGCAUCGUGAGGAGGCCGGGCGAGCGUGGAUCUUCGCCGUUCUUGACGUCGCGCCAGUGCUAGUCGCCGUCGAGGUGGGUGUUCCAUAGAAUUGCUUCCUAAUUUCCAAGCUUUUUCAAUUUCGAGCUAGUUGCUGUCCCUGCAGAUUUCCAGCGUCGACCGUUGGCGUUUCGGCUCGUACUCGACGUAGGAGCGUCGGAUUUCGACGAGGCUUGAUUCGCUGGAUUAAGGACUUCGAGAGGAAUCCACGAAGCCCUUACUUGCCAGAUUUCGUUGAGGUUAGAUUGGUCGAAUCCGUGCUGUACCUGACUGCUGCGAAUUUUGGGACUGAAACGGUGAUUUGUGCUUUGUAGAGCGUGGUGUUAGCUCGACUCCCGGAUUUGGAGGGUGUAGAUCGACCAGCAGGUGGUGCUGCAGCUGUGAGGGUGUUUUGCUGCCAGAAUUAGCGACUAAGGUGGGUUUACAUCGGUUUAUUCCUAAGUGUAGUAAUAGUCGACAUGUAUGAUUUUCUGUUCGGUAAAUCAUAUUGUAGUUCGUUUUUCAUAAUGAUAUCCUGGAUAAAUGCUGCAUAUAUAACCUGAUUAUUACCUUUUAAAUAUACAUGUUGGACUGGGUUUAAACUUAGGAGAAAACGCGAUUGGAAUCGACAUAUGUAUUAACUGCCUGAUUUAGCUCUAGGAGCCGUUAUAGAAUUGUACUGUCGCAGCAUACUGUAGACGAGUACUUCAGGUAGUUUAGAAUACAUUUACGCUCGUGCUGGUAUGCCGAGUGAAUUUUUCUGAGGUCGUUUAGACUGUUUCGUACUAGUGGGCGCCGUCGGGACUGACGGUGGGCCCGGUUCGCCGUUUUGGCGUCGGAUUGUGCCGAGGGCACGUUGUUUGUUGGUUGUUAGACCAGUUUGAGUCGAUUACUUGACUUUGGCUAGUUGGAGCCUGAUUGAGCUCGACAGAGAUACGCUGCAUACUCGGUUGGGUAGCUCCCACGAGUGCCACUCCGGAGGCGGGCGCGGUGCUUUUGCGUUGGUGUCGCUCAUGCCAGUUGGACUUGCUCUCCACGGACCAGCUAGUGUGGAUAGAGCCUGAUAGUCGCAACGGGGCAGGGACGGGUGUGUUCACAGUCCCAGGGACGGGUAUGUUUACAGUCCCAAUUGGAUUGGGUCAGAUUUGACAUUUCCUACAGUCGGUUAAUGUAGAGCAUGAUAGUGUAGUGGAUGAUAGCGAUAGAGUGUACUUCCUGCUUUUCCUUCUAUCCUUGCUCCCUUCUGUAGACUUAGUGGGUGACCGAUGUCGUUUUGGGCGGUACCCACUGAGGACUACUUGUUUUUACAGUAGUUCUCACGCCCAGUUGUUACCUAUGUUUUGCAGAGCCACAGGUUUCGGCUACUGCGCCUUCCGCGGAUCAGGAUCGAGGCAAGGGCGUCGCGAGGUAGAGCCCUACCCGACUGACAGAGCUAGAGGCACCCCCCUACUGCAGGUAGUUGCUAUUUUAGAGUUUAUGUACAUAGUUGUUUAACUCGCCGGUGCGAGUAGCUUUGUAUUUUGGAUUUGGACUAUAUAUAUGAAACUCAGUUGUUUAGCUUUGUAUAUUGAGCAGCUCUAUGCUACUGUUUGUAGUAUUGUAUAUUUACAGGUACUUUUGACGCUUCGUAUACAGGGGAAAUUCCUUGUAUACGGCGGAUUUGUCGGCGUGCCCGGGGAACGAGACAUCCGGGGCGUGACAUUAUUUUUAUAAUAGAAUUGUAUAGACAAAAUUAAUUCAAAUUUUGGUAGUAAAAAUUGAUUUUUAAAAAUAAUAAAAUCAUGUAUUGUAAUUUAAAAUAUAAGCCGAAAACAAAAUAAAUUUAAAGUUUAGAACCUAAAAAGUAUAGAGAAAUCUUCAAUAAAUCUAAAUAAUAUAGUACAAUUUAAACUUAUCAAUAAAUAAAUUUAUACUGUAUAAUUCAAAUUUUAAGUUAAUAAUGCCACACACCUUUUCCGUCAGAAUAUUGUUUUCUGAUCCAUUAGCCAUCGCAAAUUUCAAUAAGUUAUUACUAUCAAAACUAAACAAAAUUAAUAUCCUACAAUAUGAUAAAAUUUGAAAAUUCUCAGAUCGAACUAGAAAAAAAUUAACUAACAAAUUAAAUCACAAAAUAAUCUAAAUUUCAUUCUUAUUUUAUUAAAAAAAGAUUUAGAAAGCAAUAGAUAUGGAAAUAAAUUUUAAUACAUAGUUUCUUAAAAUUAAAUUGAUUUGCAAUAUUAAACAAAUAAACAAAGGGAAAAAAAAAUUAAAAGAUCAUAUUGUCAAAUCAUUUGAAAUUUUUCUUAUAUGAAAUGUCAAAUUAUGAAAGGAAAGAUAGAGAGAGAAAAAGGAAACAAAGAAAAAAUACAAAUUUUGAGGUAAAAUAUAGUAAAGGUAAAAUAACUAAAUUACUCAUAUAUUAAAAGUCAAAAAUGCCCUUUUUUGAGGUACCUGAUAACCGGUACCUCUCCCAAAGUGAUCUGCUAUUGCAGGUCACAAUUUAAAAAAAACUAAAUCUGAGUCGUUGAAUACGCAUGAAUGAACGGUAAUAAAAAAAAAAAAAAGUAUAGAAGCAUUACUCUUUUUAAUAUUAAUAUUCAACAAUCUCAAUUACCUAUUUGCAUUAAAAAAAAAUUCCAUUUAUCUCAUAAAGGCCAAAAAAAUAAAAUGGAAUGAUUAUUAAAUUUAAAUUGGAUAAAGAAAGUAGCAGAAUACAUAAGUGAAUUUGAUAGUUUUAUUUGCGAGAGUAAAAAAUUAUGAUGCAGGUGAAACUGCAAGAGCUUUUUUUUUUUUCCAAGUUGGGCCCACAAUCCGUAUAAUCGUAUAACACUAAAACAAAUUUACUAAAUUCAAAGUCAUAAAUACAAGCAGAAUUCAUUUGCCUUUGUCGUAGAAUUUAUUUUUCAAAUAAAUGAAGAAAAUAGCAUGCUACAUUUAUCUUAGAAAAAAUAUAUAUAAACUUGCAAAGAAUGGACGUUAGUGACGCGCAAACAUCAACACAUACAUUUUCUUUUAUAUAUAUAUAUAUAUAUAUAUAUAUAUAGAGUGAGGCUACUAUGCUAUCGAAAGCACGGAGCCUUCCGUGCUUGCAGCUCGUUUUCGAUGUUGCGACUUUCGAAUCGUCGAUCGGCUCUGUUAAACUUGAUCUAGAUUAUUUGAAGUACCUAGAAAAUAAAUUUUAUGAUUUUACGAUAUCAUUUGCCUAGUGAACGAAGGGGCUCAAAAUCAACGGCUGAAAAUAAAAAUCUUACAAAAUGUAAUAAUAUGACAUUAAAAUUUUAAAUCAAAGAUAUUGAUCUUGUUUUAUAUAGUAUAAANNNNNNNNNNNNNNNNNNNNNNNNNAACAUCGAAAAUAAAGUGGAAGCACGGAGCCCUCCGUGCUUCCAUAAGCAUCCUAGCCGCACUCUCUCUCUCACUCUCUCUCUCUCUCUCUCUCUCUCUCUCUCUCUCUCUAUAUAUAUAUAUAUAUAUAUAUAUAUAGGCUGGGGCUACUAUACUCUUAUGAGUAUAGACCCUCUUGUACUUAUAAAUUUUUAACCGUUGAUUGAUAGGAUAUGUGGUUAGGAUGAUGGUGGUCCCCACUUAGAAUAAUAGUAGUUCCCUAGGGUUGAGUAGGUAGUUGGUUGAAUAGUAUGAUUUAACAGGUGAAAAUGAUCAAUGGAAUAAAUCUAAUGGUCAAAAACUUAUGAGUAUAAAAGAGCCAAUACUCAUAAAAGUAUAGUAGCCGGACUCUCUCUCUCUCUCUCUCUCUCUCUCUCUCUCUAUAUAUAGGGUCCGGCUACUAUACUAUUAUGAGUACGAUCGCCCUCGUACUCAUAAGUUGUUUUUGAUGAUAGAGCUUCCGAAUCGACGAUCCACACUGUUAAACAUUAUUUACAGCAUUUAAAACUUCUAGAAAUCAAAUUUUAUAAUUUUUCGACAUUAUUUAUCUUAUGAUCAAGAGAUCACAAAUUCGACAAUUUUUAAUGGCCAGUAUGGAAUACUUGCUAGUUUAACGGUGUAAAAGAAUCGAAAUUUGUUGAAUUUUUGAUAGAAAGUUCUAUUCACUACAUAGAUAAAGAUCAAUAACUCCGAUUUUGAAUUGAAGGAUCCGAUCAUCCUUUUUUAGGACGUCGUUCGAUUUUGACCGUUCAUUUUGUGCCCACUUGAUGGAUUUUAUUAUGAUUUCAAAAAUUUACGAAAUUUAUUUUCUAGAAGUUUCAAAUACUCUAGAUCAUAUUUAACGGAGUGGAUCGUCGAUUCGGAAGCUCCAUCAUUGAAAACAACUUAUGAGUACGAGGGN